rnacentral:rRNA from 1 species
UACGUAGGGGGCAAGCGUUGUCCGGAAUCAUUGGGCGUAAAGCGCGUGUAGGCGGCUUGGUAAGUCCGCUCUGAAAGCCCGGGGCUCAACCCCGGGAGGCGGGUGGAUACUGUCAAGCUCGAGUCCGGAAGAGGCGAGUGGAAUUCCUGGUGUAGCGGUGAAAUGCGCAGAUAUCAGGAGGAACACCAAUGGCGAAGGCAGCUCGCUGGGACGUGACUGACGCUGAGACGACGAAAGCGUGGGGAGCAAACAGG